CGGGUGAGUAACACGUGGGAACGUACCUCUUGGUUCGGAACAACACAGGGAAACUUGUGCUAAUACCGGAUAAGCCCUUACGGGGAAAGAUUUAUCGCCGAGAGAUCGGCCCGCGUCUGAUUAGCUAGUUGGUGAGGUAAUGGCUCACCAAGGCGACGAUCAGUAGCUGGUCUGAGAGGAUGAUCAGCCACAUUGGGACUGAGACACGGCCCAAACUCCUACGGGAGGCAGCAGUGGGGAAUAUUGGACAAUGGGCGCAAGCCUGAUCCAGCCAUGCCGCGUGAGUGAUGAAGGCCCUAGGGUUGUAAAGCUCUUUUGUACGGGAAGAUAAUGACGGUACCGUAAGAAUAAGCCCCGGCUAACUUCGUGCCAGCAGCCGCGGUAAUACGAAGGGGGCUAGCGUUGCUCGGAAUCACUGGGCGUAAAGGGUGCGUAGGCGGGUUUCUAAGUCAGGGGUGAAAUCCUGGAGCUCAACUCCAGAACUGCCCUUGAUACUGGAAGUCUUGAGUAUGGGAGAGGUGAGUGGAACUGCGAGUGUAGAGGUGAAAUUCGUAGAUAUUCGCAAGAACACCAGUGGCGAAGGCGGCUCACUGGCCCAUAACUGACGCUGAGGCACGAAAGCGUGGGGAGCAAACAGGAUUAGAUACCCUGGUAGUCCACGCCG
rnacentral:rRNA from 1 species